rnacentral:rRNA from 1 species
CACGAGAGUUUGAAACACCCGAAGUCGGCCGGCCAACCCUAUGGGAGGCAGCCGUCGAAGGUGGGUUGAAUGAUUGGGGUGAAGUCGUAACAAGGUAGCCGUAUCGGAAGGUGCGGCUGGAUCACCUCCUUUCUAAGG